rnacentral:rRNA from 1 species
UGGGGAAUUUUGGACAAUGGGGGAAACCCUGAUCCAGCCAUCCCGCGUGUGCGAUGAAGGCCUUCGGGUUGUAAAGCACUUUUGGCAGGAAAGAAACGUCAUGGGUUAAUACCCCGUGAAACUGACGGUACCUGCAGAAUAAGCACCGGCUAACUACGUGCCAGCAUCCGCGGUAAUACGUAGGGUGCAAGCGUUAAUCGGAAUUACUGGGCGUAAAGCGUGCGCAGGCGGUUCGGAAAGAAAGAUGUGAAAUCCCAGAGCUCAACUUUGGAACUGCAUUUUUAACUCCCGGGCUAAAGUGUGUCAGAGGGAGGUGGAAUUCCGCGUGUAGCAGUGAAAUGCGUAGAUAUGCGGAGGAAAACCGAUGGCGAAGGCAGCCUCCAGGGAUAACACUGACGCUCAUGCACGAAAGCGUGGGGAGCAAACAGG